rnacentral:rRNA from 1 species
CCCUUAGAUGUCCUGGGCCGCACGCGCGCUACACUGAUGCAUUCAACGAGUGUACCUUGGCCGAGAGGCCUGGGCAAUCUUUUGAACGUGCAUCGUGAUAGGGAUAGAUUAUUGCAAUUAUUAAUCUUGAACGAGGAAUUCCUAGUAAACGCAGAUCAUCAAUCUGCAUUGAUUACGUCCCUGCCCUUUGUACACACCGCCCGUCGCACCUACCGAUUGGAUGGUCCGGUGAAGCCUCGGGAUUGUGGCGGUUGCCUUUAUUGGUGGCCGCCGCGAGAACUUGUCUAAACCUUAUCAUCUAGAGGAAGGUGAANUCGUAACA